GCGCAGAAGAGAGAAGCGCGAACGACAGUUCAAGAGGAGCGAGUCAAUGUUAACUGAUUAAAGACCACGAAAAAAAAGACGAUUUCGGAAUAUUUUCGACGGAUGCCGUAUAUUUCUAGUUUGCUUGUAAGAAAUGUUCCUAAUCUACAUAGCUGGACAUUAAUCAGCUCUAGUGUUUAAGCGCUUAAAAAUGGAGUUUAUUAAAGAAGAGAUUGAAGACAUGAGUGAUCCAGAACCGUCCAGAAUAAAACAUGAAGAUACUGAGGAACAAACAGAUUGGAUGGAAGAGAAACAGCAAAGACAUGAACUGAAUGAAGUGGAGGAGGAACAUCACAACUUCAUAACUCAAACAAAAGCCAAAAAGAGACACACCUGCACUCAGUGUGGAAAGAGUUUCACACAAAAAGGAGACCUUAACAAACACAUAAGAAUUCACACUGGAGAGAAACCGUAUACAUGCUCUCAGUGUGGAAGGAGUUUCAAUCGUACAACAGCUCUCAGUAAACAUAAGCUCUGUCACUCUGGAGAAAAACCAUUUAACUGUGAUCAGUGUGGUAAAAAGUUUAUUUCGACAUCAGAUCUAAAAAGACACCUGAAAGUUCAUUCAGAUGAGAAGCCUUAUGUGUGUUCUUUCUGUGGAAAGAGCUUUUCAAGGCUCGAUCAUUGUAAACAGCACCAGAAAACCCACAGUGAAGUGAAAGAUCAUGUGUGUUGUGACUGUGGGAAGAGCUUUACUAGAGCUGACCAACUGAAGCAGCACCAAAAAACUCAUACUGGAGAAAGACCUUACAAGUGCUCAUCUUGUGACCAGAGUUUCUCUCAUUCUGGAAACCUGAAAGAACAUGAGCGAAUUCAUACUGGUGAUAUGCCGUACCAGUGUGCUCAGUGUGGGAAGAGUUUCAAACAUAAGAAAAGCAUUCCCUAUCAUAAGGAAAAAUGUUGUAAGGUAUUACAGUUGUCUGUUAAAGAGGAAGUUGAAGACAUAAAUGAACCAGAACCAUCCAGGAUAAAACAUGAACAUACUGAGCAACUAACAGUUUUGUGUCCAAUCUUGAUUCUUUAUUAGUCAGGGAUGUAACCGACAAAUGAUUGCCCGCACGCUCUCCAUCAUUAACUGUUAAGAGGAUUUACAGUUAAAACCAAGUAGGCCAGAAAUGGUGAAUGAAGACCAGGGCUGUGUCUAAAAUCUUGAGUAGGUACUUGUUUUGAAUAAGUAAUUACUUCACGACCGCUUACUUUUGUCACAUAACCUGCCCUACAGUAGGGAAGUAUGUGAUUUUUUGGAUGCAGCCCAGGAGUCAGAGAUGCUGUAGGAGCCAAAUGUUAUGAUUGUUCAACCACUAGAUGGUGGUGUGCACCAGUGGUGUAGGUCACCUGUUCAUGUCACAUGAUAUUUAAACUUCCCAUGGGUUGUAUCAGGAGGGACAGGGGGCGGGAACAUGUGGUUCUUAGCAUAAAUCUGUGUGCUUUUAAAAACUGUUAUAUUUUUCAUUAAAUGGACAGCAUUGAAGCCGA